UUGGUGAUGAUAUUAAUUGGUCCGUGUUUAUGAAUUUAUUUUGAUUAUAAACUUUCCAAUUACUGAAAAAA
rnacentral:snoRNA from 1 species